UACGAAGGGGGCUAGCGUUGUUCGGAAUUACUGGGCGUAAAGCGCACGUAGGCGGACAUUUAAGUUGGAGGUGAAAGCCUUGGGCUCAACCCAAGAUUGCCUUGAUACUGAUGUCUCGAGACCGGGAGAGGUGAGUGGGAAUUCCGAGUGUAGAGGUGAAAUUCGUAGAUAUUCGGAAGAACACCAGUGGCGAAGGCGGCUCACGUGGCCCGGUUCGUGACGCUGAGGUGCGAAAGCGUGGGGAGCGAACAGG
rnacentral:rRNA from 1 species